rnacentral:rRNA from 1 species
GGGAGGGGGGGCUAGCGUUGUUCGGAAUUACUGGGCGUAAAGCGCGCGUAGGGCGGGCUGGUCAGUUGGGGGGGGUGAAAUCCCGAGGCUCAACCUCGGAACUGCCCCCAAUACUACCAGUCUUGAGUUCGAGAGAGGUGAGUGGAAUUCCUAGUGUAGAGGUGAAAUUCGUAGAUAUUAGGAAGAACACCAGUGGCGAAGGCGGCUCACUGGCUCGAUACUGACGCUGAGGCGCGAAAGCGUGGGGAGCAAACAGGAUUAGAUACCCUGGUAGUCCACGCCGUAAACGAUGGGUGCUAGUUGUCGGGCGGCAUGCCGUUCGGUGACGCAGCUAACGCGUUAAGCACCCCGCCUGGGGACUACGGUCGCAAGACUA